CAGUCGCCGCGGUAAUACGAAGGGGGCUAGCGUUGCUCGGAAUGACUGGGCGUAAAGGGCGCGUAGGCGGCGAUCAAAGUCAGGCGUGAAAUUCCUGGGCUCAACCUGGGGGCUGCGCUUGAUACUUGGUUGCUUGAGUGGGGAAGAGGGUCGUGGAAUUCCCAGUGUAGAGGUGAAAUUCGUAGAUAUUGGGAAGAACACCGGUGGCGAAGGCGGCGACCUGGUCCUUGUCUGACGCUGAGGCGCGAAAGCGUGGGAAGCAAACAGGAUUAGAUACCCGUGUAGUCCCUGUCUCUUAUAC
rnacentral:rRNA from 1 species